rnacentral:rRNA from 1 species
UACGUAGGGUGCGAGCGUUAAUCGGAAUUACUGGGCGUAAAGCGUGCGCAGGCGGUUAUGCAAGGCAGACGUGAAAGCCCCGGGCUUAACCUGGGAAUGGCGUUUGGGACUGCAUGGCUAGAGUACGUCAGAGGGGGGUGGAAUUCCACGUGUAGCAGUGAAAUGCGUAGAGAUGUGGAGGAACACCGAUGGCGAAGGCAGCCCCCUGGGAUGAUACUGACGCUCAGGCACGAAAGCGUGGGGAGCAAACAGG